CUGUCUCUUUUUACUGUCUCCGAAAUUAUCUAAGAAGUGAAGAGACUUUUAUGAUUUAGCGGGACGAGAAGACCCCGUUGAGCUUUAGUAGCAAAAUUUUUUAUAUUUUUACCUACUUUGGUUGGGGCAACCAUUUUUUAUUUUAUAGCAAAAGUAAAACUUUUUUGAGUUGAAUCUUGUUAUGAUCCUUAUUUUUAAGAUUAAUAGAAUAAGUUACCACGGGGAUAACAGCGUAAUUUUUUUUGAGAGUUCUUAUUGACAAAAAAGUUUGCGACCUCGAUGUUGGAUCAUAGUUUCCUAGGGGUGCAGCAGCUCCUAAAGGUUGGUUUGUUCAACCAUUAAAACUAU
rnacentral:rRNA from 22 species